GACGAACGCUGGCGGCGUGCCUAAUACAUGCAAGUAGGACGCAGUUGCGAACGGGUGAGUAACGCAUCGGUACAUACCUCUUAGAGGGGAAUAACUAUUGGCAACUAUAGCUAAUACCGCAUACUAGUAUGUUGACCUUCGUUGUAUUAGCUAGUAGGUAGGGUAAUGGCCUCCCUCGGCAACGAUACCUAGCCGACCUGAGAGGGUGAUCGGCCACACUGGGACUGAGACACGGCCCAGACUCCUACGGGAGGCAGCAGUAGGGAAUCUUCGGCAAUGGGGGGAAGCCUGACCGAGCAACGCCGCGUGAGUGAAGAAGGUUUUCGGAUCGUAAAGCUCUGUUGUUAAGGAAGCGGUACUUAACCAGAAAGGGACGGCUAACUACGUGCCAGCAGCCGCGGUAAUUC
rnacentral:rRNA from 1 species